rnacentral:rRNA from 1 species
AUUGAACGCUGGCGGCAUGCCUUACACAUGCAAGUCGAACGGUAACAGGUCUUCGGAUGCUGACGAGUGGCGAACGGGUGCGUAAUACAUCGGAACGUGCCUAGUAGUGGGGGAUAACUACUCGAAAGAGUGGCUAAUACCGCAUGAGAUCUACGGAUGAAAGCAGGGGAUCGCAAGACCUUGUGCUACUAGAGCGGCCGAUGGCAGAUUAGGUAGUUGGUGGGAUAAAAGCUUACCAAGCCGACGAUCUGUAGCUGGUCUGAGAGGACGAUCAGCCACACUGGGACUGAGACACGGCCCAGACUCCUACGGGAGGCAGCAGUGGGGAAUUUUGGACAAUGGGCGCAGGCCUGAUCCAGCAAUGCCGCGUGCAGGAUGAAGGCCUUCGGGUUGUAAACUGCUUUUGUACGGAACGAAAAGCCCUGGGUUAAUACCCUGGGGUCAUGACGGUACCGUAAGAAUAAGCACCGGCUAACUACGUG